AUUAUGGGUUCUGCCACAAGAAGACGGUUCUACCUGGCAGUGGGCUGCAUUGUGCUCAUCAGUCUGGUUAAUGCUGAUUUUGAAUUUCAAAAGGGAGUGCUUGGUGGCCUCAGCUCCGGGAUCACGGCCGACAUGGACCCCCAGUGUUGGAACACUUGUUCUAUGACCCUGCUAAAUCUCAAAGAGUUCAAGAUAGAGCCCAGUGUGGACGCUUUCUGGAAUUUCAUGUUGUUCUUACAAAAAUCCCGGUGGCCUGGACAUUAUGAGGUCUUCGUAAACAUAGCUCAGGAUUUCAGGGACAUGUAUAUAGACUGCUUGAUUUCAAGGUCUCAUGGAAUGGGCAGGAGACAGUUGCUUGAAUCUUUGCAUGCAGAGUCCAAGAAUAUGGAGGGCCAACUGUAUAUGAUUUAUAUGAAGCAAACCCUGAAUAUGCAUGACUGAAACAACUCCAGAGUAGGAAACAUAUGGGCUGGAGAGCUAUGUUACAUACUAAAAGGUAAAGCAGUUUUUAUGUAGGCAUUCUGAAUUUUACACUGGGUUCACAGUUCAAGGAACAAGGGGAUUUAACGUAGUCAAUUACAAACUUAUAUAGUACUUAUAUACCAAUGUUCUGGCAUGUCAAAUGCAUUGAAAAAUAUAAUGUUACCCUCUUUUAAAGUGGCUCUGAAAUGCUUGACCAAAAGUAGUGAUCAUAUUAUUAGAUGAAAAAAAAUAACAUAGUGCAUUAAAAAGAUAUUCUAAAUAAAACAGUCUUUGGAUUGAGGAAACCAAUGUUUAAAGGAAUAAUGAUGAUGAGGUUUCACUAAGAAGAAAAAAAUAUACAAGUUACAAUGUGAAAAAAGAUAAAGGAAAUAUUCAGGAGUUUCUCAGCCAUAAAGACAAAAUAAAUUUGUAGGAAAAUAUUUCAAACACAAUAUCUAACCUAUAAGUAUUCUUUCACCCAUAGCUGCCAUGUUUAAUUUUACCUAUCAGUUGCUGGAUUGUUCCCUUUUCACAAAGAUCUGUGUUCACAGUCUCAUUUUCAAGGUGGACCAUGGCUCUCAGGAGUCUUAAAGUGUAACGCAUCUGUGCGAACUUGUUGCCACGGCCACCUGUACCAUGAAAACUGUUACCAUGACUAAAGAAGGGAUCUGUGGAGAAAAAUUAAUGAUUUAAUUUACACCAGGGAAUUUAAAAUAUAAAACAUUUCAAAUAAACAAUGUGUCAUAUAUCCAUAAGUUUAAACAGAUGUUAACAUUUUGCCAUAGUUUUCAUUGUUUUUAGAAAAA
rnacentral:lncRNA from 1 species